GCUGCGCGGCCGCGGAGGGAGAGAGGAGACAGAGGGUGAGAGAGGGAAGCGGGAGCGGGCCGGGCUGGGCGCCCCGAGCCGCCCCGGCGGGCGCUGCAGAGCGCGUCCAGCCCGCCGUGCCCCGACGGGGCCGCAGCGGAGCGGAGCGCGAGUUACCGAGGCAGCAGCAGAGGUACCAGUGCCCCUCAAGAACACUUUGCCCUCACUAUUUGCAGUGCCAGAAUGAAAACACACCAUGGUCUGUCUGGCCCAGCAAACCCUGCCGAGCCUUGUAGAAGUCCUAUCCUCCCCUAUAGGCUCCUUUGUGCCUUGCCACAGAGUGAAUGAAAACGUGCUUUGUUCCAGCCUGGGGUGACCCUGCCGUGCAACAUCAGGGAUUGAGCUGGAGCUUCAGCCACAGACUGGGGUGGCCACCAUCCCCUUGUUACAGCAGAUGUAACCAAAACCACCACAUUUAACAGGGAACUUGUGUCCCUCCCUUUCUGCCGUGCUCAUGACAAAUAGUGAGUACGAGUAUUUUAAUUUGAUUCUUCAAAUGAUAAAAAUUCGGUUUUGUGUUAUGCCCUUGUGGUUGGUGAACAACCUUUACAGCCCUGGAGUAUCUGUGUUUGUGUGUGGUUGGACGUCUUCACAAAAAGCAAAAUUUCAGAAUUUGACCCCAGUGGGACCCACUUGAUCCCCCAUUUUCUUAAAACACUGCAGUGGUCAAAUGCCUGGUAGACAGAGCUGAUGAUAUGAUUUUGAUUAAAUAUAUCUUUGACUAUAUGUCAGUUUGGUUGUGUUGUUUGCAUUUUUUAUUAAAGCCUUGGAAGUCAAAAUGCUCUACAGCAAGAAACUUAUUUCAAUUAUUUUUCAAGAAACAGUUUUCUGAAGCCAUUUCUGCCCAUAAGGAAGAGGUCCAGGGGAAACUACAAAUAAGUACUUUUUAUCUGGAGGCAGCAUUUUCCCCACAAAUUAACUUUGAAAAAAGUUAAGAGUUUGAAAGUUUUUGCGUCACUUCCAAUGGGAAAUGCUGCACAGUUUUAAACCUCAGAAGCUGUCAUAGGAUGGAUUUGGAGUUCUGUGGCCACUGGUCCCAUCGGAUCUGCUUCCUUUGUGUGUCUGAGCAUGCCUGGAGGCAGGCAGGGGAGGUUAGACUCUGUGCUGACUUUCUUGUUCCUGCUUCCGCUUUCAGCGAUUUCUGUUUUCCCCCCAUGGAUACAUAUUCUCUCCAGGCCUGUUUAACUGCCUCCUGUUUAUAGAUUUCUCAUCCAUGCAGCAAUUCUCACAGUCAACAGUGGAUUUUAGGAGAAAGCUCUCUUUCAACUUUUUGCUUCAGAUUUCCAGAAUUCAAAUUUUUAAAACCAUCAAUGAAAUAAUUUUGGUUUAUAUGCAAUUGGGAAUUUCUGUCUAAGAGCUUCAGUCUACCUCUUCCAGGUGCAGUCCUGCAGAUGCACUGAAACCUGCAGAAAAGCCUUCAUUACCUGGAGACCCACAUGUAAGCAGCUUGGUGUGUGCUCGGAGUAAAACAAAGAUGUUUGAUUUCAUUAUGCCAAAGUCAGUCUAAAUACAAUCAUCUGCUUAUAGCCUAGUAACUUAGAAAGAAGCCUCACACCUCACAGAUGAUUUUUCUUAAGUGCUAAAAUUCAGAAAAUGCUAACCCACAAAUUCCACGCAUUCCUACGUUCAGGUGGUUUUGUUAGAUUAUAUCAAGAUUAUAAUUAGAUUCCAUUAUUUUCACAAUAGAAUGUGUGGCAGUGUAAUGCACGUUGCACAUUGCCUGGAGCACAGCUGGUUUGAGUUAGAGGAGUAUCUCUGCAGUCCCAUCCGCCAGCAGCUCCCACCCAAGCCCCCAGCGCAUACCAGCGCUGCUUUAGCUCUUGUAAACACAGGAGCUGAUAACUGCAGCGUUUAUCUGCGUUGGAUCGAUAAGGGUUGUUUCACGGGUGCUGCUGGCGUGGGGAAAUGUUAAGAGCCCUGUGUUCCCGCAGAGCAUUCCUCGUUUUACAGACGUGGUCUGGGCUGCAUCCGAGCUCCGAAGCAGCACCGUGCUAAAUGAAAUCCUCGCUGUGGGACAGCCCAGCCAGGAAUGACUAGUUUUGACCCAGGAAAACCCAUCAUUAAUCUGCUCUGCGUCCUGCAAGAGUAUGUAUACCAAGGGUGGGACUUUGAAACUGAGGCGUAGCUCACUUCAGUCUUGUUAAAACUCUGGCAUAUCUAUAACAUUUGCUUAACCACAGAUUCCUUCUUUAUUUCUAUUUAAAAAAAAGGUAUUACAGCCUUAAAUUUUGGCCACCUUAUGUGUUCUUAAUGGCUAAGAGAAACUACUGAGUGAACCCUGAUUUCUGUGAGGUGCUGCAUUGUGGGAGAAGAGCUGGAGAAACUGGCUUUCAACAUUUCUGACCCUUUAGACUCAUUGCUUAAACCUAAGAGCUGGAGUUAUUCUCUAGUUUUUUGUUACAUUAAUGAAAAAUGCAUGAAACCCCUUAGAAGCAUAAGAAAAACAGGCACUGCAGGAGCUCCAUUGCCAGAGAAAAGAUUUUAAAGUUGCUUUCGGAGUUAAGCAUCUGAGCACUGCCAUCCAGUGGGCACUGGGAACCGGCUCUGCCGCCCCCCGCUACUGGCCCGGGCUGCACGGAGCUUUUCCAGCGAGCACAGCGGGACCUUCACACUGUCAGGGGCUCCAGGUACAGGGUCCCUGCUCUGCCUCGGUGAGGAGAUGGGGCUGGAGCAGUGGCAGUGCCUGGGGAUGCUGCAGGAGCCCGCAGCAUUUCAUCUGCAUCGCCCCAUCCGAGUCUGGGCAGCCCCGAGCAGGGUCAGGGCACAACCAGGCUUUUUAGGGUUUGGCAGAAGACACAGGGCAUUGAGAGUCUGUUUUUGAGACAGCUACUAGCAGCUCUCUGAG